rnacentral:lncRNA from 1 species
CCACUCUUGGCUCCAGCAGACCCACUGUCCCAGAAAAGCCUGAUCCUGUAGUUUAUGUAGAAUGCCACAUCUGCGUCCUCAAGACCUGUUUCAUCCAUUUGGGAAAAGAUGUUGGGAAAGGCCACUUUGCUCGCAGGGGUGAGGGGAAGGAUAGAGAAUCUAUUUUUAAUAAAUAACAUUCUAGAAAGAUCAGCUGCCUGUGAGUGUUCUGAAAUCCACGCACCUGGACGUUUCUUCUGGUGGGUCUUGGCUGCCUGGUGGAAUUUGGAAGGUGUUGGUAUCAAGGUCAAAGGUGGGUGCCUGAACCUGCCUUUCAAAGAGGGUUUUCUUAGACCGUGGCCAGAAGCAGAGUCACAUGCUCAAAUGGUCAGAGCUGGAUGGGACUGUGCAAGUUGUCCAGGCAUAUCAUCCUACAGGUAA